GCAGGAGUCUUUCCAGGCUGAUAGUUUCUAAAUGCUCUUUCAGGCUUAUGCAUUUUGGAUGUCUUUAGCUGAAGCUGGUUUGUUCUUCCUAUCUAUAUCUGCAAUGCCUCCUAUCAUAACCUAUCAUUUCAGCUUAUCGUCACCCUCCUGGGAAUCUUUAGUUCCUCAACAGAGUUGACUGGAAACCUCCCCUCAUGCAUCAUUUCCUGAAGAGUUCAAUCAGCUUAGCAGGAAAGACUGAAGGCCAAAACCUACAAAUAAGAUAAGCUUUGUUAUGGUGACUCUUUUGUGAAAUGACGUGAAACUUCCAGUGAAGGAGUACAUUUGUAUGUGUUAUAGAUUCUACUGGAAAUAUGCACUUUUUCUGGAUGUCAUGCUCCUGGAGACAAAUAGGAAGAAUUAUCCACACCUGAACCUGAGAUUCACUUAUGCUACAUGUGUAUUUAUCAAAUUCAACUGGAUGGGAACCUUGUCCCCUGAAGAACAUACUUGUGAAGAGCUAGAAAUCAUUAAAUCUAGUAACUGCAUUGAUGUGAGCUGGUAACACAAAUGGACACAGAUCAAUUCUCUCCAUUCCAUCUGGAUUGCACUGUGUUGGGAAAAGUGAUAAAGAAAAUUUCUGCUGUACUGGUUAUGCUUAUGAUAGAUGAAAGCCCCUCUAAAGAUGACACUUUAAUGUUCUCUUUCUUGACCUUCUGAUGUAUGUUAAGUCUUGGUUGCUGACUAAAGUAACAACACAGAUAAUUGAGCUUUUAAAGGCCCUAUUUCAUAAAUCUAAUAACAACACUGAGGGAAGCUGAGGUGUAUUCUCUUCUUACUAGUGUAUCAUUAAUAUAUCUGGUAUCACAUUUUCCAUGUAAAAUAGCUCCUAAAAAAGGAUCUGGGCUGACUUUCAGGCUCCAGUGGGCUGACCAUUAGGAAGGAAAUCUUCCUGCUACCUUCAUUAGGAAGAAAAGGACGCUGCAUGAGAGACACUUUUCGAAGUAUGCCUCAGCAGCAGCCCUGUGUUGAGGGAUUUGGUGGCCUACAGCUAGUAAUACAUAGUGGUGUCCUUCAGAAAGGGGACACAAGCCAGUUUUGAGUUGCUAUGCUCCUCUAAAGGGAUUUUGCUAAAAAAGGAGAAGAAUUUAUCACCUCUUAGAAGAUAUUUUGGCUGUACUAUGCAAGCAAUUUAGUAAAAUCUCUGUAUGUGAGUAUUGGCAGUCUUUGAAACAAAAGAAGUAGGGCUGCUUUGUGUGCACUGAAGAAUUUUUGCUUUUGACUCCACUGGAGCCAUAAUUUGUCACCAGAUUCAUAUCCUGAAACCUAAAGUGCCCUUAAAAGGGCUACUGCAAAUUUAUAAAUCGUAAUCACAGUCCUCUGUUGACAGGACAACCAGUACCAUCCUGUUUAGGAUCUUGCCCUGCAAACCUGUAACCCUCUGUCUGUAGCCCACUCAGUACUCACCCAUGAGAUUGCUUUUUCCCCACCUAUUUUUACAACUUUUGUUGAUAACAAAGAGCACCUUUUUAAAAAAAAUGCUUGAAGGCAAAUUAUACCCCUGAAUACUUAGUGUUUUACUGCUUGGGCUUCAAACACUCUGUAACAAGCUGAUUUGUUUAAUGCCUACAGUCCUUACUGGAAAGUUUUUAAAUUGUGUAAACAUUCCUACCAGUUUUAUGUGUUUCUAAACAUUUUUUUUAAUGUGGGUACAAAUUUAACUUGACAGUGUACUUUCCAAGCUUCCAUUAAAUAGGGCCAAUUUUUUAUUGAUAGAGGAAUAUCUCUGAAAUAGCUUUAUGAUGUCUUGCAAUGGAAGACUUUUCAUUAACUCCGACUAGAAAAAUAACCUACCAUGUAUUUGUAAGUCUUUUAUCAGUUCUUACUGUAUCAUAAUGUCUGUGGGACCCCUGCUGGUGGAAAGGGGAAAAGAGAGUGAAAAACUUCAAAGUUAAUGGAGAAGGGAAUAUAUUUUCACUGUACAUUGUGUUUGCCAGCUACUGUUAUCAUGCAGCCACCAAAGAUCUCAGUGUUUUGAAACUUCUCACAGGUUGCAGUUUGUUGCUUUCCUCACAUAACUGUGUUUUACCUCCCUUCAAGUGUGCCAGUGAUGCUUUAAAAGAUCAGUAUAGAAAUCUUCAGCUACACCAUCUGGUUCCAGUUUUCCUUAAUUUGGUGUCAGCCAAGCUCCUACAGUCCGGAUGAUUAAAAGGGACAGAGGGACCUGCUGCACUUUAGGGAUUUAAGCCUUCCUUUUCCUCCUAUAAAUUCUGACCUUUCCAAAAUGAGUUUUCUUUCUUUUCUUUUCCCCUAAGAAAGUGGAACUUAAAGCAAAUGUUUGAUAUUUUUACUGGUGGAGCCAAAUUCCAUGCGUUCUGGCUGCUUUUCACUGACAGAAAAAUUAUUCCACAAUAAUUUGUCAUUAUUUCCAAAGUGAUACUGUAUGUUACUGUAACAAUAACAGCUAACUUGGCCUUUUGAGAGGUAUAUAUUUUCUCAAGAAAUUUCAGUCUAGUAGGGAAAACACUGAUCAUGAUGACCUUGAGGGAAUACAGCCUAAAGAAAGAAGUGGACGUUUGUGACUGUUUUGAAAUCUCAUGGCUGGAACAGUUUCCUGUUGAGGCACUUUGUGCUUGUGUGACAACCCAUGGAGGGGUUCUCCUGCGUGCUCUGUCUGCAGCCUCGGUCCUGAAAAGGUAAAGAGGGAGCAGGGGCAGCCUCAGUCCCCUCUGCUGAAGGGCUCCUUGGGGAAGGAAAACACUGUGCUGUGCAUAAAAAAUCGGUGUAACUGUUAUCUGAUUGUCUGCCUGAUUACAGGACUAAACAGAGUUAGGUUGGCUACCAGUAUAUGCCAAGUAUACUUGUCCUCUGUUCCUCAUAGUAUGACUGAGCCUUGGGAUCAGUUAUUUAGUGGGAUCAUUGGAAAGGCUUGACGAGCUGCUGAAUUCUUCCUUGUCUGGAUUCCUUUGUUUAGGUUGCCUCGAAUUAUCACUGCACGUUAUUAUUUUUAUACACAUACAACUUUUAAAUCCACAUAGAUGACACUUUUUGUGCCAAAAAUGCACUAUGCACUUCUCAGACCUUGCAGCUGGUUGAGCACCAAUGAAGGAAAUGAAUUUGGUAACUGAGCUGGGAGAAAAAGAUGCUUGAAGAUGCAGUUUCUAAUGCUUUCUUGUAGAUAUUCCCAUCAGACCACGUGAAGAACUUUUCCUGUUUAUAGGAGAAUAUAAAAUUUUUAAAAUCUUUUAAAAUUAAAACCUUUGGGAGCUUAAUUAAAUGUACUGUGAGAAAUAUGUGCAGUUCACUCACAGCUAUUGACUUGAGGUUUAUGCAUUAUUGCCAAGUCCUGGAAUGAAUAAAGCUUU
rnacentral:lncRNA from 1 species